AUGUAUCCUUGACUGGCUUACAACUUGUUGGCUUGGAACUUGCUAUAUAGGACAGGCUGGCCUUCAACUCCUAUAUAUUCCUAUGCUUCUCACUCCAAGGGAAAAGGAUUUAUGUGUGGUGAAAUGAAGUUACACGAAUGGGAAAAUAAAUAUGGAUGGAGAGGUGAACAGGUUCUUCUAGCAACCCAAUAAAGAACAUUGAUUUGAGGGCGCACGGGGCUGUGAUAUGCUGCAACAUUGAAAUCAGAGGCCAUUAGGACAUUUUCCCAGAACAAAAUGUAUCCCAGAAGAAACAAUGCCACGUGGCUUGUCCUGGUGUGUUAUUUUCUCCUGAAUUGCAGGCUGCCUCCCCUGCAAAGCUCAUCACCACUAUGAAACUACUCAGCAUACCUGAUACUACAUAUAGAGGUUCACUAUGGGACAGAACUUAGUGGACUUCAGAGACCAUCAAAUUGACAAUCAUGACUAACAAGAAAAUGAUCUGCAGCACUACCUGCCUGGCACAGGAUGAACAAGAACACAAGAUGGAUUGGGAAGCCGAGGUUGGGUUGUUGAGUUUCAGGUGUUCUUCAACCAGCAAGAAUAUAAGAAUCUUCUUUGUC
rnacentral:lncRNA from 1 species